UAUAAUGAGGGUUUGAUCCUGGCCCAGGAUGAACGCUGGCGGCGUGGAUAAGGCAUGCAAGUCGAACGAACCCUUCGGGGUUAGUGGCGAACGAGUUAGUAACGCCUUGGUACUUACCGUAUAGUCAAGAAUAACCAGCCGAAAGGUUGGCUAAUACUUGAUAGUCUCGAAAGAGUAAAGGAGCAAUCCGCUAUACGAUAGGCCUAGGUCCUAUCAGCUAGUUGGUAAGGUAACUGCUUACCAAGGCUACGACGGGUAGGGGGAGUGAGAGCUUGACCCCCAACGACGGCACUGAGACACGGGCCGUACACCUACGGGUGGCAGCAGUCGAGAAUAUUCCACAAUGGGCGAAAGCCUGAUGGAGCGACGCCGCGUGCAGGAAGAAGGCCUUCGGGUUGUAAACUGCUUUUCUAGGAGAAAAAGUCUGGCCAAUUGUGCUCGCUAAUUUCGGUUAGUGGGUGCAAUUGGCUAGAUUGAUGGUACCUUAGGAAUAAGGGGUUGCUAACUUCGUGCCAGCAGCAGCGGUAAUACGAAGACCCCAAGCGUUAUCCGGAUUUAUUGGGCGUAAAGAGAGAGCAGGAGGUUUGGUGCGUCUGUUGUUAAAUCCCACCGCUCAACGGUGGAACUGCAAUGGAUACGACCAGACUAGAGGAUACUAGAGGUUACUGGAACACACAGUGUAGGGGUGAAAUCCGUUGAUAUUGUGUGGAACACCAAAGGCGAAGGCAUGUAACUGGAGUAUUCCUGACUCUGAGUCUCGAAAGCGUGGGGAGCAAAAAGGAUUAGAUACCCUUGUAGUCCACGCCGUAAAUGAUGUUCACUAGCUAUCGGAAGUAUCGACCCUUUCGGUGGCGAAGCUAACGCGUUAAGUGAACCGCCUGGGAAGUACGGUCGCAAGACUAAAACUCAAAGGAAUAGACGGGGACUCGCACAAGCGGUGGAUCAUGUGGUUUAAUUCGAUGGUACACGAGGAACCUUACCAGGGCUUGAAAUUCUACUGAAUGCGGUUGGAAACGAUCGAGGCUUAAGAUUUAUCUUUGGCAGUAGGACAGGUGCUGCACGGUCGUCGUCAGCUCGUGGCGUGAGCUGUUCCCUUAAGUGGGGUAACGAGCGCAACCCUCGUCCUGUGUUACAAGUGUCACAGGAGACUGUCCGCUUUAAGCGGAAGGAAGGUGGGGAUGACGUCAGAUCAGCGUGGCCCUUUGAUGCCCUGGGCUACACACAUGAUACAAUGGUCAAGACAAAGGGUUGCCAAGCCGUAAGGCGGAGCUAAUCUCAAAAACUUGGCCUCAGUUCGGAUUGAGGGCUGAAACUCGCCCUCAUGAAGUUGGAAUCGCUAGUAAUCGUGGAUCAGAUAUGCCACGGUGAAUACGUUCUCGAGUCCUGUACUCACCGCCCGUCACACCAAGGGAGCUGGUAGCGGAUAGAGUCUCACCUAGCGUGGGAUGAGUUCGAGAUCAGUGACAGGGGUGAAGUCGUAACAAGGCACGCGUAGCGGAAGCUGUGCGUAGAUUAAUUAAAUA
rfam:Candidatus Wolfebacteria bacterium RIFOXYD1_FTLL_48_65 rifoxyd1_full_scaffold_1653, whole genome shotgun sequence.